rnacentral:tRNA from 1 species
GAGCCCCUGGCUCAAUUGUUAGAGCAUUAGACUUCCGAUCAACAGGUCUGGGUUCUAGUCUCGGGUGGUGCA